rfam:Oryctolagus cuniculus unplaced genomic scaffold chrTn0370, whole genome shotgun sequence.
CCAAAGGCUCUUUUCAGAGCCACCUCCGAGCUCGAUAAAGGAGCGU